rnacentral:rRNA from 1 species
AUACGUAGGGUGCAAGCGUUAAUCGGAAUUACUGGGCGUAAAGCGUGCGCAGGCGGUUUUGUAAGACAGUGGUGAAAUCCCCGGGCUCAACCUGGGAAAUGCCAUUGUGACUGCAAGGCUGGAGUGCGGCAGAGGGGGAUGGGAUUCCGCGUGGAGCCGUGAAAUGCGUAGAUAUGCGUAGGAAAACCGAUGGCGAAGGCAAUCCCCUGGGCCUGCACUGACGCUCAUGCACGAAAGCGUGGGGAGCAAACAGGAUUAGAUACCCUGGUAGUCCACGCCCUAAACGAUGUCAACUGGUUGUUGGGGAUUUAUUUUCUCAGUAACGAAGCUAACGCGUGAAGUUGACCGCCUGGGGAGUACGGCCGCAAGGUUGAAACUUAAAGGAAUUGACGGGG